rnacentral:rRNA from 1 species
GACGAACGCUGGCGGCGUGCCUAAUACAUGCAAGUCGAGCGAACAGAUGAGGAGCUUGCUCCUCUGACGUUAGCGGCGGACGGGUGAGUAACACGUGGGCAACCUGCCCUUAAGACUGGGAUAACUCCGGGAAACCGGGGCUAAUACCGGAUAAUUGAAAGAACCUCCUGGUUCUUUUAUGAAAGGCGGCUUCGGCUGUCACUUAAGGAUGGGCCCGCGGCGCAUUAGCUAGUUGGUGAGGUAACGGCUCACCAAGGCAACGAUGCGUAGCCGACCGGAGAGGGUGAUCGGCCACACUGGGACUGAGACACGGCCCAGACUCCUACGGGAGGCAGCAGUAGGGAAUCUUCCGCAAUGGACGAAAGUCUGACGGAGCAACGCCGCGUGAGUGAAGAAGGUUUUCGGAUCGUAAAACUCUGUUGUUAGAGAAGAACAGGAGAAGUAGUAACUGGCUUCUUUUUGACGGUAUCUAACCAGAAAGCCACGGCUAACUACGUGCCAGCAGCCGCAGUAACAC